rnacentral:rRNA from 1 species
AACGUAGGAGGCAAGCGUUAUCCGGAUUUACUGGGCGUAAAGCGUGUGCAGGCGGUUGUCCAAGUCGUGUAUGAAAGCGCUCCGCUUAACGGGGCGAGGCUAGACGAGACUGGGCGACUAGAAUCAGACAGAGGCAAGCGGAAUUCCGGGUGUAGUGGUGAAAUGCGUAGAUAUCUGGAGGAACACCGGUGGCGAAGGCGGCAUCCUGGACCGGCAUUGACGCUGAGACGCGAAAGCGUGGGGAGCGAACAGG